AAUACCCAUGCAGUACGAAGACAAUCAGGGAUUUGAAGAGGAAGAGCAGGAUUCAUCGGGACCAGAGGAGCGCUUGAGAAAAAGGUUUUACCAGCAGCGCAGGAACAAGACGAUGAGCCAGCCUGAAGAGGAGGUGAUACAAAAACCACACUGAACGAAACAGAACUCAGGAAAGGAGGAGGAGAAUGUGCCACAAAGGACUUACCACCUGCGCAAGAAGAGGGAAUUUGUGCCCUCGAACUGGCAGACACCAAUGGUGAUCUUUCCGGAAGAUGACGGGACAGACAAUUGGAAACCCAAACAGGAUGAAUCAGAAGACGGAGGAGGAACAAGUGGGACAAAGGGUUGCUUAGGUGGCCAUGAAAAAGAGACUUGAGUGUCCCAGCCUGCAAAGUCAGAGUGGUGUCUUUAGUUUCAAUGCUUCAACACAUACUAGAAUCUUUCAAACCAAAAUGAGGAAUAUAUCUUUGUCUUUUCUAAAAAACAGAUGGAGAGCUCAUCUGAAGAUGAUGGGACAGGUGAUUGGCAACACGCUCAGGGUUAAUCAGAAGACAAUUGAGAAAGAGGAAGACAUGCAGGAAAAUGUUAAGGUCACCAGGAGUAGCAGACACUUACUAAUAGUAAUACAGUGAAAACCGGAUAUAGUGAUCAAAGCUUUAUAUGGAUCAAAAAGCUUGGGACAGAAUUGUUCCUAUACAAAUGCUGUUUAAAUAUUUCGGUUAUAAUGAUCAAGUAAUCCGCUUACAGUGAUAAUUUCGGACAAAUCCACGUUUAAACGUAGCAGAUCACAGACGUCUGCUGUCACUAUGCAUUUCGUUGAUAGUAAUCAACUGCUUAUAGCGAUCAUUUUGGCCCAGGAAAAAACAUGACCACUGUAAGCUGUUUCCACUGUAGUAAGUCUAAUAAUGCUGGAGGCUCAUUUAUAAGGACAGAGUCCUAGGCACUGGAAAUGUAAAAAAUCUGUUGCUAGUAAAUCCCCACAUAAUAAAAUCAUAAACACUGUUUUUUAAUUCUUAGUAAAAGAAA